UAUGAUUGAGUAUAAGAACUUAAA
rnacentral:siRNA from 1 species